rnacentral:rRNA from 1 species
UACGUAGGGCGCAAGCGUUGUCCGGAAUUAUUGGGCGUAAAGAGCUCGUAGGCGGUUUGUCGCGUCGACUGUGAAAACCUACAGCUUAACUGUGGGCUUGCAGUCGAUACGGGCAGACUUGAGUUCGGUAGGGGAGACUGGAAUUCCUGGUGUAGCGGUGAAAUGCGCAGAUAUCAGGAGGAACACCGGUGGCGAAGGCGGGUCUCUGGGCCGAUACUGACGCUGAGGAGCGAAAGCGUGGGGAGCGAACAGG